rnacentral:rRNA from 1 species
GACGAACGCUGGCGGCGUGCUUAACACAUACAAGUCGAACGAGGCCCCUCCUUCGGGAGGGUGUCCUAGUGGCGAACGGGUGAGUAACACGUGGGCAACCUGCCCCCGGCUCUGGGAUAACCCCAAGAAAUUGGGGCUAAUACCGGAUAUGACCGCUGACCGCAUGGUCGGUGGUGGAAAGUUUUUUCGGCUGGGGAUGGGCCCGCGGCCUAUAAGCUUGUUGGUGGGGUAGUGGCCUACCAAGGCGACGACGGGUAGCCGGCCUGAGAGGGUGACCGGCCACACUGGGACUGAGACACGGCCCAGACUCCUACGGGAGGCAGCAGUGGGGAAUAUUGCGCAAUGGGCGGAAGCCUGACGCAGCGACGCCGCGUGGGGGAUGACGGCCUUCGGGUUGUAAACCUCUUUCAGCAGGGACGAAGCGAAAGUGACGGUACCUGCAGAAGAAGCACCGGCCAACUACGUGCCAGCCGCCGCAGUAA